CCUACGGGGGGCAGCAGUGGGGAAUAUUGGACAAUGGGGGGAACCCUGAUCCAGCCAUGCCGCGUGUGUGAAGAAGGCCCUCGGGUUGUAAAGCACUUUCAGUGAGGAAGAACGCCUGGUGGUUAAUACCCAUCAGGAAAGACAUCACUCACAGAAGAAGCAACGGCUAACUCCGUGCCAGCAGCCGCGGUAAUACGGAGGGUGCGAGCGUUAAUCGGAAUUACUGGGCGUAAAGCGCGCGUAGGUGGCUUGAUAAGCCGGUUGUGAAAGCCCCGGGCUCAACCUGGGAACGGCAUCCGGAACUGUCAAGCUAGAGUGCAGGAGAGGAAGGUAGAAUUCCCGGUGUAGCGGUGAAAUGCGUAGAGAUCGGGAGGAAUACCAGUGGCGAAGGCGGCCUUCUGGACUGACACUGACACUGAGGUGCGAAAGCGUGGGUAGCAAACAGGAUUAGAUACCCGGGUAGUC
rnacentral:rRNA from 1 species